AAUAGAUACCCAGGUAGUCCUGGCAGUAAACGGUGCACGUUUGGUGUGGGAGGAUUCGACCCCUUCCGUGCCGGAGCUAACGCGUUAAACGUGCCGCCUGGGAAGUACGGUCGCAAGAUUAAAACUCAAAGAAAUUGACGGGGGCCCGCACAAGCGGUGGAGUAUGUGGCUUAAUUCGAUGCAACGCGAAGAACCUUACCUGGCCUUGACAUGUAUCGUGACAAUCUGUGAAAGCAGGUGACUGCCCGCAAGGGUGAUGGGGAUACACAGGUGCUGCAUGGCUGUCGUCAGCUCGUGUCGUGAGAUGUUAGGUUAAGUCCCGCAACGAGCGCAACCCCUGUGAACUGUUGCCACCGGCGCAAGCCGAGCACUCUGUUCAGACUGCCCUGUGAAACGGGGAGAAGUGGGGACACGUCAAGUCAGUAUGGCCCUUAGGCCAGGGCUGCACACGUACUACAAUGCCCAUACCAGAAUGAUCCAAAUCCGCGAGUGAGGAAAUCUCUAAAAGUGGGCCCAGUUCGG
rnacentral:rRNA from 1 species